GCUAAGGUAUUUAUUAUAUAAUUUUAAAAAUUUAUUUAUACAUAAAAUCUUUUUGAAAAUUGUACAAGAUAUUUACAUUGUUUCGAAUCAGAUUUUGUACAAAAAUUGGUAACUAGAAGAUAGGAAUGUCGAAUAACAAGUUCAGAUAUUGCACAUAGGAUAAAAAGAGAAGUUAAUAUAUGAGGACUGAUCACGAAGCCCCAGGAUUUUUUAAAUUGCGACACACAAUCGGCAUCAAAUGUUUAACGAGACCGGUAAUCUCUACUGUUCUUUUAUGCUUUGAAGUUUUAGGCAAUUUUUGGAUAUUUUUCAGUGUUUGAGUCACUUUGGUUAAAUUAGGUACAGACUUUGGCGAAAUUUUUCAAAAAGAAGAUCAUCGGUAUCAAAGGAGAGAAAAUGAGGGCUCAAAGUGACAGAAAACGGCAUAAAACGACAAAGAAUAAUAAAAAGUAUAAACAUUAGCAAAAUGAUUCUGAGACAGAAACACCACUGAAUUCAGGCUUUUUAGGAGCUUAUUGGAGGGAUAAAUGGUAACGAGAAUUUUUGAAACGCAUUAUCAUAGGUGGAAGAAACAAAGAUACAAUCCUUUUAAUGAAAGUCAAAAAAAUACAUCGCCAAAAGCAUAACAGGUGUAGGAAAAAACGCACCACUUCAUUCUUCGUUGCUCGUUCCCAAUUUCUGCGGAAAAUAGCUUGUUUGUGAUAAGGCAACCUCCUUAUUCACCAAGCCUAUCCCUGUAGACUAUUUAUUGAUUCUCAAGCUCAAGAGAGCAUUUCAGAAUCAACUGAAAAAAAAAACAAUGGAUUCUAAAAUAACCAAACUAGUCUUUUCGACUAUAGAAACGAUGUCGGAAAUGUAUAUUCAUCAAAAGGGGAGUCUCUUAAAGGGUAUAAUGUAGUAAAUUAAGCAAAUAGAGAGUGUUUAUUUAAUUUUUAGAUGAUUUUUUAAGUAUUUGUCCAGGAACUUUUUGAUCACCCUCUUAAAUAUAUUGAGUUAUUAAAUUCAACGAAACGAAUGGUAAAAUUGACGCUAUUGAUUAAAAAAGGCUUGUAAUUGAGCUGCAAAAUUAAAGUCAGAUAAAUAUGUAAAAUUGACGCUACUGAUUAAAAAGCGCUUAUAAUUUAGGUAAAAAAUAUAUUUUUCUUUUAUCGGCGUUGUUACACGUUUUGAAAGAGCAAUAAGCAGAAUGGCAACACAAAUUUUAGUCUGUGUCACUGCUUUCAUGAGUAAUUUAAUAUUCACCUUGUAUGUGCAUGUGUGGACUGAAUGCUCUAUGUGUAUAGAUUUUAUGAAUUGACUUAGUGCCUUGUCUUAAACAUUUUGAUCAUUGUACUACAUUCUUGUCUGAAUACAGUAUUCUUUGUUUUUUGCAUGAACUUUUAUUACUAUAGGAAGAAUAAAAAUCACAACAAAUACUAAAAUUUCAAGCGCAACAGUGUACGCCGAAAGUCAGCACUUUUUGGAGAUUAGCUCUAAACCAUUUUUAAACAAAAAGAAAACAA